CAACUGAGAGCAGGCCGUCGCCGCUGCCAUAGUCGUGGCUGUCGGCAACAGCCGGGCCCUCCGCCCUACGCGAUGCUUGAUUGCCUAAAAAUCUGCCUUUCACGAUUCCUCGCUCCCUUCGCCCGAUUUGGUGUGGAUUUGACGGACCGGCCGGUGACUCCUAGUAGAAAUUUAUUCCCCAUCUCCUGACCACGAGACUAGAAAUCUCUUAUGCCGAACAGAACAUGGUGUAAUUGGAUGAUUUCAUUGUCCGUAUAUUUUGAUUCAUGUCGAAAGUGUGUUUGCCUGGAAUCAAUUUUGGGCGUGGGUACUUGUGAGCUUUGAUUUAUUUAUUGUACACGGAUCACGGAUAGAGUUUGUAUAUUUACUUCUUGGUUCUGCUCACUUUCGUUGGCAU
rnacentral:lncRNA from 1 species